rnacentral:rRNA from 1 species
GUCGAGAAUCUUUCACAAUGGGGGCAACCCUGAUGGAGCGACGCCGCGUGGAGGAUAAGGUCUUCGGAUUGUAAACUCCUGUCAUGCGUGAACACGGUUGCUUGGUUAAUACCUGGGCAAAUUGAUGGUAACGCAAGAGGAAGAGACGGCUAACUCUGUGCCAGCAGCCGCGGUAAUACAGAGGUCUCAAGCGUUGUUCGGAAUCACUGGGCGUAAAGGGUGCGUAGGUGGCGUGGUAAGUCAGUUGUGAAAGCCCGGGGAUCAACUUCGGAACUGCAUCCGGUACUGCCAUUCUAGAGUUCUGGAGAGGUGACUAGAAUUCUCGGUGUAGCAUUGAAAUGCGUAGAGAUCGAGAGGAAUACCAAAGGCGUAGGAAGGUCACUGGACAGUUACUGACACUGAGGCACGAAGACCAGGGGAGCGAACGGGAUUAGAUACCCCAGUAGUCC